AUUGAACGCUGGCGGCAGGCCUAACACAUGCAAGUCGAGCGGAUGAAGGGAGCUUGCUCCUGGAUUCAGCGGCGGACGGGUGAGUAAUGCCUAGGAAUCUGCCUGGUAGUGGGGGAUAACGUCCGGAAACGGGCGCUAAUACCGCAUACGUCCCGAGGGAGAAAGUGGGGGAUCUUCGGACCUCACGCUAUCAGAUGAGCCUAGGUCGGAUUAGCUAGUUGGUGGGGUAAAGGCCUACCAAGGCGACGAUCCGUAACUGGUCUGAGAGGAUGAUCAGUCACACUGGAACUGAGACACGGUCCAGACUCCUACGGGAGGCAGCAGUGGGGAAUAUUGGACAAUGGGCGAAAGCCUGAUCCAGCCAUGCCGCGUGUGUGAAGAAGGUCUUCGGAUUGUAAAGCACUUUAAGUUGGGAGGAAGGGCAGUAAGUUAAUACCUUGCCGUUUUGACGUUACCAACAGAAUAAGCACCGGCUAACUUCGUG
rnacentral:rRNA from 1 species